AGCGAACGCUAGCGGCGGGCUUAACACAUGCAAGUCGAGCGCUUCACUUCGGUGAAGAGCGGCGGACGGGUGAGUAACACGUAGGUUACCUGCCCCUGGGUGAGGGACAACCGAGGGAAACCUCGGCUAAUACCACAUAUGGUCUACGGAUCAAAGGCUUCGGCCGCCCGGGGAUGGGCCUGCGUCCCAUUAUUUAAUCCUAGUUGGCGGGGUAACGGCCCACCAAGGGUACGAUGGGUAGCUGGUCUGAGAGGAUGAUCAGCCACACUGGAACUGAGACACGGUCCAGACUCCUACGGGAGGCAGCAGUGGGGAAUAUUGCGCAAUGGGCGAAAGCCUGACGCAGCCACGCCGCGUGAGUGAUGAAGGCCCCAGGGUCGUAAAGCUCUGUCGGGGGGGAAGAAGUUCUGACGGUACCCCCUAAGAAAGCACCGGCUAACUCCGUG
rnacentral:rRNA from 1 species